AUCUCCUCCUUAACGCCAAGACUACCUAGCUUCUUCUAAUUCCCUCGCUUCACCAUCCCAAAACAUCUUCUAAAUAUUCCGUACAGUCUGAAUCCUAGACUGUGUUGAUUAAGGAGCAUCGUCUUUCAUGGAUAUAGAUAAAGAUUCUUUCUCACGAUCUAUCUACAUCUGACCAGCAUCAAACGAAAAAGCACAAAUAAGCACGGCCAAAAAAUAGAUAAAAGGGAGCCAAAUUGGUGCAGAUAUAGUACACAAAUGGAAAGCAAAG